GGAGGGUGCGAGCGUUGUUCGGAUUUACUGGGCGUAAAGGGCGCGUAGGCGGCCUGUUAAGUCAGACGUGAAAGCCCAAGGCUCAACCUUGGAAUGCGAUCUGAAACUGGCAGGCUUGAGUACUGGAGGGGAAAGUGGAAUUCCCGGUGUAGAGGUGAAAUUCGUAGAUAUCGGAGGAAUACCGGUGGCGAAGGCGACUUUCUGGACAGAUACUGAGCCUGAGGCGCGAAAGCGUGGGGAGCAAACAGGAUUAGAUACCCUGGUAGUCCACAGCUGUAAACGAUGUGCACUAGGUAUGGGGGGGUGUUGACCCUCUCUGUGCCGCASUAACGCAAUAAGUGCACCGCCUGGGGA
rnacentral:rRNA from 1 species